ACGAACGCUGGCGGCAUGCCUAACACAUGCAAGUCGAACGAGACCUUCGGGUCUAGUGGCGCACGGGUGCGUAACGCGUGGGAACCUGCCUUUAGGUUCGGAAUAGCUCCCCGAAAGGGGUGCUAAUACCGAAUAAUGUCUUCGGACCAAAGAUUUAUCGCCUUUAGAUGGGCCCGCGUUGGAUUAGCUAGUUGGUGGGGUAAAGGCUCACCAAGGCGACGAUCCAUAGCUGGUCUUAGAGGAUGAUCAGCCACACUGGGACUGAGACACGGCCCAGACUCCUACGGGAGGCAGCAGUGGGGAAUAUUGGACAAUGGGCGAAAGCCUGAUCCAGCAAUGCCGCGUGAGUGAUGAAGGCCUUAGGGUUGUAAAGCUCUUUUACCCGGGAUGAUAAUGACAGUACCGGGAGAAUAAGCCCCGGCUAACUCCGU
rnacentral:rRNA from 1 species